rnacentral:rRNA from 1 species
UACGGGGGGAGCAAGCGUUGUUCGGAUUUACUGGGCGUAAAGGGCGCGUAGGCGGCGUGACAAGUCACUUGUGAAAUCUCCGGGCUUAACCCGGAGCGGUCAAGUGAUACUGUCGUGCUAGAGUGCGGAAGGGGCUACUGGAAUUCUCGGUGUAGCGGUGAAAUGCGUAGAUAUCGAGAGGAACACCUGCGGCGAAGGCGGGUCUCUGGGCCGAUACUGACGCUGGAGGAGCGAAAGCGUGGGGAGCGAACAGG